GUGCCAGCAGCCGCGGUAAUACAGAGGUCUCAAGCGUUGUUCGGAAUCACUGGGCGUAAAGGGUGCGUAGGUGGCGUGGUAAGUCAGAUGUGAAAGCCCAGGGCUCAACCCUGGAAUUGCAUCCGAUACUACCAUGCUAGAGUACUGAAGAGGUGACUAGAAUUCUCGGUGUAGCAGUGAAAUGCGUAGAUAUCGAGAGGAAUACCAAAGGCGAAGGCAGGUCACUGGGCAGUUACUGACACUGAGGCACGAAGGCUAGGGGAGCAAACGGGAUUAGAAACCCCCGUAGUCC
rnacentral:rRNA from 1 species